rnacentral:lncRNA from 1 species
CAAGGUUCACUGGGGUUUUACCAAGAAGUUUCAACAAAGUGUUAUUAUCAAGGGGUUUCAUCAUGGAUUUAUCAAAGGGUUUCACCAGAAUUUUCUAUCAAAGGGUUCCGCCAGAAUUUUAUCAAGGGUUUUUUCAAAAGGGUUUUGUCAAGGGAUUUUAUCAAAAACGGUUUAUCAGGAAUUUCAUCGAAAGAUUCCAUAAAGGGGUUCUG